CUCGUAACUCCAUUCUGACACUGUUAAUUCACAGUCUAUCUUGUGCAUGCUGGACGCCAUCCUGCUGUUUCCAGGAUGUCUCGGUACCCUUCUUAUGGUCCUGCCGUGGUGAUUCUGUCGCUGGCCAUUCCUUUCAACCCAAAGGAUGGUUCUUUCUAACACACAAAGCACAGGGAGGUGCCAGGCCUUCCUGAUGCCUCUUCAGCCACAUCCUUGGGCAUGUCAUGCCUGGUUCUCUGUGGUCAUCCAUCUCUCAUGCAGGAUAUUCCUGCACUGCACCUGAGCAGGCGGUGAAAUAUUGCAUAUACACAUCCUUACAGGCUAACACGAAGUGUUGCUGGCUGUAUGUGUAUAUUGCUGAUUAUUUUGCAAUAGUUCUUCCUAUACAUUACUCCACGUACCCAAUCGGUGAUGCACGAUGGCCAUGACAUAAAAUUCUUACCUUGCUGUUACACAGAAAAGCAUUCCAUUCCCGCAGAGGGGACUUUGCCAUCCGGCCCACGGGAGCAGCCCCUGCCCAUGGGGUUGGCACGGGGCGGGCUUUGAGGGCCAUUCCCACCCAAACCGGGCUAAGGUUCUGCAGUUCUGUGCUACAGCCCCAGGAUGGGUGCAGCCCCAUCGCUGCUCGGGGGCACUGCUGGGCUGUGUGACCCCGGGAUAGGAAGGGAUCAGCAGCAGCCGGGAAGGGAAACCCUUCAGCGGUCUGAGCCGGAGGGAGCGCGGUGGGGCUGUGGCAUUGCCGGGCCCCACACUCGGGCUCAGGGAGUCUUCCUCCCCACGGAGGACCAGCGCUGCCAAAAGGGCUGUGCACGGCAGUGCCUCCAGCGCUCCUGCACCCACUGCCACAGCCUGGGGAAGCUGUGCUGCAGGCACUGCCUGGCCCGGCACAGCCCCGGGGUCACCCGCAGAUGGGCCGUGCCCUUGGGACCCCAGAGGCACCCCGUAGGGUUGGUCCUGCCUGCAUCUGCCGGGAUGGCCCUGCAUGGAUCCAUGGGGAUGUUUCGGCGUGGAUCCAUCGGGCUGAUCCUGCCUGGGUCCAUCAGCACGCUCUGGUCCAGAUCCUGUGGGGCGCUCCCGUCUGCUCCCACUUCUGGGUGCUCAUCUGUGUCCAGGUUCAUGUCCGCAUCCGUGUCCAUGUCCGUGUCCUUGUGAUUGUUCAUAUCCAUGUCGGUGGCCCUCUUCAGUAGCGGCCACAUCCCCGUACUAAGGACAUUAAUCUGAACAAGCAGAUGGAGACUGGGGGGCUCCUGGGCCGGGGGCUCCUGGGUGGGGGGCUUCUGGGCUGGGGGGUCGUGAAAGGGCUCUCUGGGCGUCCCGGCUGCCCUCUGCCGCUCCAGCACUGCCCGCAGCAGUUGGCAGCGGCGCUCAACGGCUGCGUGGUUCCCACGGAUGGCACAGAUCAGCUCCUGGAUGAGCUCCGUGUGGGAGCAGUGGGGCGGGGAGGGCUCCAUGGGGCUCUGCGCUCCAUCGCUCUGCUCAGUCAUCCGCAGGGAAUAGGGGGUGCUGGGGGCUGCUGGCAGCAGAGCCGGGGACUCCGAGCUGGGGCACAGGGAUGGCUCAGCCUCAGGCUCUUCCUCUGGCUCUUCCUCUGACGCUGCCUCUGACUCUGGUUGUGGCUCCAGCUCUUCCUCUGGCUCUGCCUCUGCCUCUGACUCUGCCUCUGACUCUGGCUCUGACUCUGGAUCAGGCUCCAGCUCUUCCUCUGGCUCUGGCUCUGGUUCUUGCUGUGGCCCUGGCUCUGGUUGUGGCUCGCGUGGCUCUGGGGUGGCCCGAGGGGGCAGGGCAGCCAACUCUGACAGUGCAAUGGGCCAGGGCUCUGGGAAGGAGUAGAGGGAGGAACCGGAGGAGGAAGAAGAUUCAUCAAGGGAGCCCAGGGACAGCA
ensembl:lncRNA